GCGCAGCAGUCGCGAAUUUUUCACAAUGGGGGCAACCCUGAUGGAGCGACGCCGCGUGGAGGAUGAAGGCUUUCGGGUUGUAAACUCCUGUCAUUUGAGAACAAGUGUAGCCAACUAACUAUUGGCUACUUGAUAGUAUCAGAAGAGGAAGGGACGGCUAACUCUGUGCCAGCAGCCGCGGUAAUACAGAGGUCCCAAGCGUUGUUCGGAUUCAUUGGGCGUAAAGGGUGCGUAGGUGGCGCCGUAAGUGGGGUGUGAAAUUUCGGAGCUUAACUCCGAAACUGCAUUCCAUACUGCGGUGCUUGAGGACUGGAGAGGAGACUGGAAUUCAUGGUGUAGCAGUGAAAUGCGUAGAGAUCAUGAGGAAGACCAGUGGCGAAGGCGGGUCUCUGGACAGUUCCUGACACUGAGGCACGAAGGCUAGGGGAGCGAACGGGAUUAGAUACCCCCGUAGU
rnacentral:rRNA from 1 species